AAGAGGGAAACAACCCAGCCCGCCAGCUAAGGUCCCCCAUGAUAGAUUAAGUGGUAAACGAAGUGGGAAGGCGCAGACAGCCAGGCUGUUGGCUUAGAAGCAGCCAUCAUUUAAAGAAAGCGUAAUAGCUCACGGGUCGAGUCGUCCUGCGCGGAAGAUGCACCGGGGCUCAAAUCUAUAACCGACGCUGCGGAGGACAGUUUACUGGCAUGGUAGGGUAGCGUUCUGUAGGCCGAUGAAGGUGCAUU
rnacentral:rRNA from 1 species